GAUGAACGCUGGCGGCGUGCCUAAUACAUGCAAGUCGAGCGAACGGACGAGAUGCUUGCUUCUCUGAUGUUAGCGGCGGACGGGUGAGUAACACGUGGAUAACCUACCUAUAAGACUGGGAUAACUUCGGGAAACCGGAGCUAAUACCGGAUAAUAUUUUGAACCGCAUGGUUCAAAAGUGAAAGACGGUCUUGCUGUCACUUAUAGAUGGAUCCGCGCUGCAUUAGCUAGUUGGUAAGGUAACGGCUUACCAAGGCAACGAUGCAUAGCCGACCUGAGAGGGUGAUCGGCCACACUGGAACUGAGACAAGGUCCAGACUCCUACGGGAGGCAGCAGUGGGGAAUCGACCGCAAUGGGCGAAAGCCUGACGGAGCAACGCCGCGUGAGUGAUGAAGGUCUUCGGAUCGUAAAACUCUGUUAUUAGGGAAGAACAUAUGUGUAAGUAACUGUGCACAUCUUGACGGUACCUAAUCAGAAAGCCACGGCUAACUACGUG
rnacentral:rRNA from 1 species